rnacentral:lncRNA from 1 species
CGUGUGGGAGGCAGAGGCUGGCAGAUCUCGUCUGAGGCAGCCUGGUCUACAUGAGAACCGAGAAGUUGCUAGAAACAAUUGACCAGCUGCACCUGGAGUUUGCCAAGAGAGCUGCGCCCUUCAACAACUGGAUGGAGGGCGCCAUGGAGGACCUGCAGGACAUGUUCAUCGUCCACAGCAUUGAGGAGAUCCAGAGUCUGAUCACCGCACAUGAGCAGUUCAAGGCCACGCUGCCCGAGGCCGAUGGGGAGCGGCAGUCCAUCCUAGCCAUCCAGAAUGAGGUGGAGAAGGUGAUCCAGAGCUACAGUAUCCGGAUCAGCUCCAGCAACCCCUACAGCACUGUCACCAUGGACGAGCUGCGCAACAAGUGGGACAAGGUGAAGCAGCUGGUGCCAGUCCGGGAUCAGUCCCUGCAGGAGGAGCUGGCACGCCAACAUGCUAAUGAGCGCCUACGGCGCCAGUUUGCUGCCCAGGCCAAUGCCAUCGGCCCCUGGAUCCAGAACAAGAUGGAGGAGAUCGCUCGGAGCUCCAUCCAGAUCACAGGGGCCCUGGAGGACCAGAUGAACCAGCUGAAGCAGUACGAGCACAACAUCAUCAACUACAAGAACAACAUUGACAAGCUGGAGGGCGACCACCAGCUCAUCCAGGAAGCCCUGGUCUUCGACAACAAGCACACCAACUACACCAUGGAGCAUAUCCGUGUCGGAUGGGAGUUGCUGCUCACAACUAUCGCCAGAACCAUCAAUGAGGUGGAGACCCAGAUCCUGACAAGA